GACGAACGCUGGCGGCGUGCUUAACACAUGCAAGUCGAACGGUGAAGCGCCUUCCUUUUUGGUGGGUGUGGAUGAGUGGCGAACGGGUGAGUAACACGUGAGUAACCUGCCCCCUUCUUCGGGAUAACCGCAUGAAAGUGUGGCUAAUACGGGAUAUUCUGGGUCUGUCGCAUGAUGGGUCUGGGAAAGAUAUUGUUUCGGUGGGGGAUGGGCUCGCGGCCUAUCAGCUUGUUGGUGGGGUGAUGGCCUACCAAGGCGGUGACGGGUAGCCGGCCUGAGAGGGUGGACGGUCACACUGGGACUGAGACACGGCCCAGACUCCUACGGGCGGCAGCAGUGGGGAAUAUUGCACAAUGGGCGCAAGCCUGAUGCAGCGACGCCGCGUGAGGGAUGGAGGCCUUCGGGUUGUGAACCUCUUUCGCCAGUGAAGCAGGCCUGCCUCGUUUGUGGGUGGGUUGACGGUAGCUGGAUAAGAAGCGCCGGCUAACUACGUG
rnacentral:rRNA from 1 species